AUAACAUCAGACGGCCCCUAGUGUUCCCUCAAACACCUCAUUGGAAAUUAAUAGGGAGUCCUAAGUAAUCCAUCUCUCUCUCUCUCCCUCUCUUUACUGAAGUGUUUGGGGGAACCCCUGGAGCCAUUUGAUCCAU